GAUGAACGCUAGCGGCAGGCCUAACACAUGCAAGUCGAGGGGUAGAAUUAGCUUGCUAAUUUGAGACCGGCGCACGGGUGCGUAACGCGUAUGCAAUCUACCUUGUACAGGGGGAUAGCCCAGAGAAAUUUGGAUUAAUACCCCAUGGUAUAAUUAAUUUGCAUGAAUUGAUUAUUAAAGUUCCAACGGUACAAGAUGAGCAUGCGUCCCAUUAGCUAGUUGGUGUGGUAACGGCAUACCAAGGCGACGAUGGGUAGGGGUCCUGAGAGGGAGAUCCCCCACACUGGUACUGAGACACGGACCAGACUCCUACGGGAGGCAGCAGUGAGGAAUAUUGGUCAAUGGUCGGAAGACUGAACCAGCCAUGCCGCGUGCAGGAAGAAGCAUCUAUGGUGUGUAAACUGCUUUUGUACGGGAAGAAACACUCCUACGUGUAGGAGCUUGACGGUACGUAAGAAUAAGGAUCGGCUAACUCCGUGCCAGCAGCCGGGUAA
rnacentral:rRNA from 1 species